rnacentral:rRNA from 1 species
CAGUCGCCGCGGUAAUACGAAGGGUGCAAGCGUUAAUCGGAAUUACUGGGCGUAAAGCGUGCGUAGGCGGUGAGUUAAGUCUGCUGUGAAAUCCCCGGGCUCAACCUGGGAACUGCAUUUGUGACUGUAUAGCUAGAGUACGGCAGAGGGGGAUGGAAUUCCGCGUGUAGCAGUGAAAUGCGUAGAUAUGCGGAGGAACACCGAUGGCGAAGGCAAUCCCCUGGGCCUGUACUGACGCUCAUGCACGAAAGCGUGGGGAGCAAACAGGAUUAGAUACCCGCGUAGUCCCUGUCUCUUAUAA